rnacentral:rRNA from 1 species
UACAGAGGUGGCAAGCGUUGUUCGGAAUUACUGGGCGUAAAGGGCGCGUAGGCGGCCUUCUAAGUCAGACGUGAAAUCCCCCGGCUUAACCUGGGAACUGCGUCUGAUACUGGGAGGCUUGAGUAUGGGAGAGGGAUGUAGAAUUCCAGGUGUAGCGGUGAAAUGCGUAGAUAUCAGGAGGAACACCGGUGGUGUAGACGGCUCUCUAGUACGGUACUGACGCUGAGACGCGAAAGCGUGGGGAGCGAACAGG